AUGAGGGGUCUAACAGAAUAUUCCCCUAAAGGAGUUACUAAGCUUGCAGUUGUACCUGUAGCAACACUGUGUGUGCAGGAUGAAUCUGAUUUAAGGCCUAAUAUGAGCAUUGUUGUUAAAACACUCCAAAUCCUUGAGAAGGCUCCCACACCUGCACCACAAACUUUUGCACAAAAAAUUAUAGAGUCGGUUGGAUUUGUAUUUGGGAUGCUGGGUGGAUAUUCGUCUGAUAAAGGUUGUUAG